AUACUCCAGUUACUCUUUAGUUCAUAUACAUCUUUUGAGCUAAAGACUUCCAUGAAGGGAAACCACUGUGAGUCUUAACCCAAUGUUUUGAGGCACUGUAUCUGCAGGGCU